UACGUAGGGCGCAAGCGUUGUCCGGAAUUAUUGGGCGUAAAGAGCUCGUAGGUGGCGUGUCGCGUCUGCCGUGAAAGCCCAUGGCUUAACUGUGGGUCUGCGGUGGAUACGGGCAGGCUGGAGGCUGGUAGGGGCAAGCGGAAUUCCGGGUGUAGCGGUGGAAUGCGUAGAGAUCCGGAAGAACACCGGAGGCGAAGGCGGCUUGCUGGGCUCGGUCUGACGCUGAGGCGCGAAAGCGUGGGGAGCGAACAGG
rnacentral:rRNA from 1 species